UAUAUAACAUCUAUGCAACCUUGGACAAUGAACAACUACUCAGAGCCUUUUUUAUUCCUUCUGUAAAAAUGAAAGGGUUAGAUAGGAAGAUCCCUAAGGCCUGUUGAGCUCUAACAUUCUAUAAUUGUAUGAUUUACUGUUAACUGUCAAUUAGCUACGCCUGGCAUGUUUGGGAUUUGAAAUUCUCUUUGAGACACAGAAGAAUGGGCAAAGAGACUGUGGAUGGCACCUAAACCUCUCUUCUCAAAAGAACUGAAUUUCUUAUCAAAUAUGAUAUGCUUGAGCUUUAGAAUGUCAUUAGCAGCACUCCCUAAGAUGUGAGCUAGCUAGUCAAAGAGCUAGUCUCUGUCUAAAUAUCAACAUGUCUAAUGGUCUUGCUGAUGAGACAGCUUAUAGCUAAAAAAGAUUUCAAUUCAAGGCUUAAAGCACAUGCCAUGACUUCAUUCUGUCUACGCCUUAUGGCAGAGUGAAGUUUUAAAAUGUUUAAAGGGUGAGAGAACAGCUUUUCUGACCCAGGAAAAUCACUCAGAUAGGACAUUCUUUGGAUAUGAUGCAAUCAGCUAUCUAUACCAACUGGGGAAUUACUUUCACAUAUGUAGUUACCACUUUGCUUGCCUCGACUUAAAAUAUCAGAACCUGUCAUCCAAUAUUUCUUAAAUUUGAUUUGGCUCAUUCUUUGGAAGAAGGGAAUGCUAUUUCUAAGAAGGAUGGAACCCCAAGAAAGAUAAUAUGGAAGCAGACAUAUGACCACAUAAUAAAAAUUUUCUUAUAAA